rnacentral:lncRNA from 1 species
UCUAUCAGUCUCCAUCGCUGCUCCUUACUACCCUUUGUUGCUGUAAGAGAGCAGCCCUACAAGGGUUGAGAAUGUGCCUGCCAGCUCCCACCACAGCCCCCUCUCUUCAGACCCCUUUCAAGAAGCCACACAAGGGGCCAGGGAUUUAGCUCAGUGGUGCCGCUGCCUGCCUUGCAAGUGCAAGGUCCUAAGUUCGAUCCCUGGUACCGCCAAAAAAAAGAAGCCACACAAGACCCGAAGACAGCUGACAUUUGUGUCCAGACUCUUGCCCUCCCAUUGUCCUGUCUGUUGUACUGUGGGGUUGGCAGGCAUUGCCUCCACCUGCUCCCGUAGGGAAACAGGUUUGGGACACACCUCACAUUCCGGGCACUCUGGAGUCAAAUCCCAGUGUGCUGUUUGCAGGCUGUAUGGCCUUGGGCAAAGGACUUCAAGCUCCAAGCCCCAGUUUUCUUAUCUGUUAAAUAGGGAUAAUGUCAGUGCCUACCUCAGGUAGUGUCAUAUGCAAUGAGUUAGUGAAGUGACAUGCUGAAAACAGGGCUGGACACAUGGUCAGCGCUUAACAAAAGGGAACCAACAUUGUGGAGGUGAGAGGUGACCCAGGGAGCUGAGGUUCCUGCUUGUGGAACUCCUGGUCUGAUAAUGGACCAAAGUUUGCUCCCCCUGUCCUCAUGAAAGCUAGUUUGGAGUCCAUGGAUUCAGUUGUAAACAGCCCACUGAUGCCCGGUGCCUGGCAUGGUACGAGUGUUCCCUGGGCCAGGACUGGGCAGGGCAUAGGGGACAGCUGCUCCUGCUCUCUCCCUCAGAUGAAGACGCUGGACUGUGAGAAUGCCAGGCUGGGCCAGGAGCUAGCAGAGCUGCAGGGCCGCCUGGCCUUGGGGGAGCGGACAGAGAAGGAGAGCCGGAGGGAGGCCCUGGGCCUUCGGCAGAAGCUGCUGAAGGGCGAAGCCAGCGUGGAGGCCACAAGGCAGGAGCUCCAGGGAUGCCAGCGGAAGCUGCAGGAACAGGAGGCCGAGUUCCGGGCCCGAGAGCGCGGCCUGCAGGGCUCCCUGGAGGAGGCGCGAAGCGUGGAGAAGAAGCAGCUGGACCACGCCCGCGGCCUGGAGCGCAAGCUGGAGGCAGCUCGGGCAGAGGCCGCAGAGCUGGCGCUGCGGCUGAGCGCGGCCGAGGGCCGGACGCCCAGCUGGGCGGCCUGCGCUCCGCCCUGCGCCGGGGCCUGGGCCUGGGCCGCGCGCCCGGCUCCCCCACACACAACUCGCCGGCGGGAGCAGAUGGAGGAGGGCUCAGCAGCCCCAGCCCCUUGGAACGCAGUGCUGGGUCCCAGCCACCAUCCCCAGGACCUGCCACGUCACCAGGUCCUCCAGACCUAGACCCAGAGGCAGUGCGAGGGGCCCUCCGGGACUUCCUGCAGGAGCUGCGGGGUGCCCAGCGAGAGCGGGAUGAACUCCAGGCCCAGACCAGCGGCCUCAGUAGACAGCUGGCCGAGAUGGAGGCUGAGAGGGACAGCGCGACUUCAUGGGCCAGGCAGCUGCAGAAGGCAGUGGCUGAGAGCGAGGAAGCCCGGCGCAGUGUGGACGGGCGGCUGAGCGAGGCCCAGGCGGAGCUGGCGCUGCAGGAGGAGAGCCUGCGGCGCAGUGAACGGGAGCGCAGGGCCACACUGGACCAGGUGGCCACCCUGGAGAGGAGCUUGCAGGCCACCGAGAGUGAGCUCCAGGCCAGCCAGGAGAAGAUCAGCAAGAUGAAGGCCAAUGAGGCCAAGCUGGAGAGUGACAAGCGGCGCCUGAAGGAGGUGCUGGAUGCCUCCGAGAGCCGCACCAUCAAGCUGGAGCUGCAGCGGCGAGCGCUUGAGGGAGAGCUGCAGCGGAGUCGCCUGGGCCUCAGUGACCGAGAGGCCCAUGCCCAGGCCCUGCAGGAUCGGGUGGACUCCUUGCAGAGACAGGUGGCUGACAGUGAGGUGAAGGCAGGGACCUUGAGGCUGACAGUGGAGCGGCUGAAUGGGGCCCUGGCCAAGGUGGAAGAGAGCGAAGGGGUCUUGCGGGACAAAGUACAGAGCCUGACACAGGCCCUGGCCCAGAGCCACACCAGCCUUACCAGUACCCAGGACAAGAACCUACAGCUGCAGAAGGCGCUAACAGCCUGUGAGCAUGACCGCCAGGUGCUCCAGGAACGGCUGGACGCUGCCCGGCAGGCACUGUAA